CCUACGGGAGGCAGCAGUGGGGAAUAUUGCACAAUGGGCGCAAGCCUGAUGCAGCCAUGCCGCGUGUGUGAAGAAGGCCUUCGGGUUGUAAAGCACUUUCAGCGGGGAGGAAGGCGUUAAGGUUAAUAACCUUGUCGAUUGACGUUACCCGCAGAAGAAGCACCGGCUAACUCCGUGCCAGCAGCCGCGGUAAUACGGAGGGUGCAAGCGUUAAUCGGAAUUACUGGGCGUAAAGCGCACGCAGGCGGUCUGUCAAGUCGGAUGUGAAAUCCCCGGGCUCAACCUGGGAACUGCAUUCGAAACCGGCAGGCUAGAGUCUUGUAGAGGGGGGUAGAAUUCCAGGUGUAGCGGUGAAAUGCGUAGAGAUCUGGAGGAAUACCGGUGGCGAAGGCGGCCCCCUGGACAAAGACUGACGCUCAGGUGCGAAAGCGUGGGGAGCAAACAGGAUUAGAUACCCGGGUAGUC
rnacentral:rRNA from 1 species